rnacentral:rRNA from 1 species
GACGAACGCUGGCGGCGUGCCUAAUACAUGCAAGUCGAGCGAAGUUUUUCUGGUGCUUGCACUAGAAAAACUUAGCGGCGAACGGGUGAGCAACACGUAAAGAACCUGCCUCAUAGACUGGGUCAACUAUUGGAAACGAUAGCUAAUACCGGAUAACAGUAUUUCUCGCAUGAGAGAUAUUUAAAAGUUGGUUAUGCUAACACUAUGAGAUGGCUUUGCGGUGCAUUAGCUAGUUGGUGGGGUAAAGGCCCACCAAGGCGACGAUGCAUAGCCGACCUGAGAGGGUGAUCGGCCACACUGGGACUGAGACACGGCCCAGACUCCUACGGGAGGCAGCAGUAGGGAAUCUUCCGCAAUGGGCGAAAGCCUGACGGAGCAACGCCGCGUGAGUGAAGAAGGAUUUCGGUUCGUAAAGCUCUGUUGUUAGGGAAGAAUGGAUAUGUAGUAACUAUACAUGUAAGAGACGGUACCUAAACAGAAAGCCACGGCUAACUACGUG